rnacentral:rRNA from 1 species
GACGUAGGGGGCGAGCGUUAUCCGGAAUUAUUGGGCGUAAAGGGUGCGUAGGUGGUGUAGUAAGUUAUCGGUGGCAAAUCGAGGCUCAACCUCGUGGAAGUCGGUAAUACUGCUAUGCUAGAGGAUAGGAGAGGUUAACGGAACUCCCUGUGGAGCGGUGAAAUGCGUAGAUAUAGGGAAGAACACCAAUCAGGCGAAGGCAGUUAACUAGUCUAUUCCUGACAUUGAGGCAUGAAAGCGUGGGGAGCAAAACGG